UACGGAGGGUGCGAGCGUUGUUCGGAAUCACUGGGCGUAAAGCGCGUGUAGGCGGCCUGCUAAGUCUGAUGUGAAAGCCCGAGGCUCACCCUCGGAAGUGCAUUGGAAACUGGCAGACUGGAGUCCCGGAGAGGAGGGUGGAAUUCCUGGUGUAGCGGUGAAAUGCGUAGAUAUCAGGAGGAACACCGGUGGCGAAGGCGGCCCUCUGGACGGUGACUGACGCUGAGACGCGAAAGCGUGGGGAGCAAACAGG
rnacentral:rRNA from 1 species